GGAUCCUCCAAAAUAGUAAGCAAAUGCUUUACUAUGUGACUUAUAUGUUUAUUCUUUAAUAUAACUAUUUUUAAUGUUAUAUCUUUGUGACACACUGGUAUUGUGUAAUAAUCAGCCAUAUUGCCCAUGUAGAAACAUUUUGUCUUUCUACUCUGGAGAGGCCAGGAUCAAUUUUUGGAUCCCACCUCUUGGAAAUGUUUAUCAUGGAGACCGGGCCAAAUCCAUCAAUUUACCAUCCUUCAUAACCUGGUUGAUCCUCCUCAGGUGGGUGGCCUGAGGAAGAACUUGUUUCAUUCCACCACUUGGUACUCUAUCUGAGUGGAAAGUGAUGACAUAUAUUUAAAAAAAAUAGUAUAUAAUGUAUAUUCUGACAUAU
rnacentral:lncRNA from 1 species